rnacentral:lncRNA from 1 species
AUGGCCGCUCAGGAGGCCGUGGCUGGGAAGGUGCCGGUGGACAGCGUGGAAGAGGCGGAGCAGACCCUCGCGGCCCCCGCGGAGCUGGCCGCCCAGAAGCGCGAACAGAGGCUGCGCAAAUUCCGGGAGCUGCACCUGAAGCGGAAUGAAGCUCGAAAGUUAAAUCACCAGAAGUUGUGGAGGAAGAUAAAAGACUUAAACUACUUGCAAAGUGGGAGGCUAAAAAAGCUCGUCUGGAAUGGGAGCUGCAGGAAGAAGAAAAGAAAAAAUGGAGAGGAGUUCUACCCAACAUCCAACAGUCUUCUUCAUGGAACCCAUGUGCCCUCCACAGAGGAAAUUGAUAGGAUGGUCAUAGACUGGGAAAAGCAAAUUGAAAAAUGA